rnacentral:misc_RNA from 1 species
GCACAACACAAUCUCUGUCAGGAAAGAACUUCACAGCAGAGCAAUUAUAAACAAACCCCAGAAGUGACUCAAAUUGUUGAAUAGUGAAUUUAAUAAGAUGAAGAAAGCAAGAAAGGUAUGUGAUCAGGAACCAAGGUCCAAAUACCAAAAGAAAAUCCAAUUUUGCUAUAGGCCGCUUAUUUUUUCCUCAAAAUUACACAAAUUCAACAGAUAAGGUAUAGGUUUCUAUAAAACUCAUCACAAUUUGUUAAGGUUUAACCAGGAAGUUUCUACAGCAACUCAGUAUCCAUCCCAAUAAAGGAAUGGAGCUACAACUAGGACUGCUUAAAACAUUCUCAGAAGAGAAGCCAAAGUUAAUACCAGCAUCAUUCCACAGACUGAAUGUUCAGUUUAUAUGUCUCAGCUUUCUACUUCCACUACCUCCAUUUAUUGAGGUUUUAAAUCAAUAUUUUCAGCAAAGGUUACAAUCUCGUACAACCAGAAAACAAGAAACUAUCAAAUAAGAAGAACAAUUUGAUUUAGGCAAAAAAA